GGCUCUGUGGCACAAUGGAUAGCGCAUUGGACUUCUAAUUCAAAGGUUGUGGGUUCGAGUCCCACCAGAGUCG
rnacentral:tRNA from 1 species